CACAGAGGGAAUCAGCAUGGCCACCCUCUGAGGACUGCAUCCUGGCUCCCUGUCCUCCCAGGAGAACGUCUGUGGCUUUUUCCUGGUUGCUGUGGGAGCCUCACCUGCCAAACUGCAGGCUGAUUGAGAUUCCCGCGCUGGAACAGUCAGGGGUUGGGGCUUUCUAUGAGUGCGUGCCACACAGCCCAGCCUUGGAGGUGGUGGCUCUGCAGGUUUGGGAGGCGCUUUGAGUCCCCGCUGCUGUGGCAGAGCGCCAUCAUGAUCCUGACCAUGCUGCUGAUGCUGAAGCUGUGCACCGAGGUCCGUGUGGCCAACGAGCUCAACGCCAGGCGCCGCUCCUUUGCAGCUGCAGAUAGCAAGGAUGAAGAAGUCAAGGUUGCCCCCAGGCGGUCCUUCCUGGACUUCGACCCCCACCACUUCUGGCAGUGGAGCAGCUUCUCGGACUACGUGCAGUGCGUCCUGGCCUUCACGGGUGUGGCGGGCUACAUCACCUACCUGUCCAUUGACUCCGCCCUGUUUGUGGAGACCCUGGGCUUCCUGGCCGUGCUGACCGAAGCCAUGCUGGGUGUGCCG
rnacentral:sRNA from 1 species